rnacentral:lncRNA from 1 species
UCUACAUUAUACUGCUUUCCCAAAGCCAUUUAUACGUCUUGCGGUUCUGAUCAGUGGGGUUAUUUUUCCUUGUUGGUUUGUGUUUGUAUUUUUUCACUGUGGCUGCUCUGCUCUCUGACUGGCUCACUUGUGAACAAAUCCCAGGAUACACUAAGAAUGAAUGUUGUUGGUGCAUUGUACUUGGAGAACCCCCCUCUUCUCACCACCAUAAUGGAGAUUCAAGGACAUAAGUGUUCUCAAUCUGCAUUACCAAGUGGUGGAAAUUGUGAACUUGCUGACAAGUUUCAGACUGUUAUUCAUUCAGGAUUAUGAAU